rnacentral:rRNA from 1 species
AGUGAACGCUGGCGGUAGGCCUAACACAUGCAAGUCGAACGGCAGCACAGUAAGAGCUUGCUCUUCCGGGUGGCGAGUGGCGGACGGGUGAGGAAUACAUCGGAAUCUACUUUUUCGUGGGGGAUAACGUAGGGAAACUUACGCUAAUACCGCAUACGACCUACGGGUGAAAGCAGGGGAUCUUCGGACCUUGCGCGAUUGAAUGAGCCGAUGUCGGAUUAGCUAGUUGGCGGGGUAAAGGCCCACCAAGGCGACGAUCCGUAGCUGGGCUGAGAGGAUGAUCAGCCACACUGGAACUGAGACACGGUCCAGACUCCUACGGGAGGCAGCAGUGGGGAAUAUUGGACAAUGGGCGCAAGCCUGAUCCAGCCAUACCGCGUGAGUGAAGAAGGCCUUCGGGUUGUAAAGCCCUUUUGUUGGGAAAGAAAAGCAGCAGGUUAAUACCCCGCUGUUCUGACGGUACCCAAAGAAUAAGCACCGGCUAACUUCGUG